AUGUGGGGACAAAAUGCUACCUUGCAAGCUGCCUUUCACCCUUGGAAGACAUGGGCACACCUAUGUGGAGUGAGUGCAUCAUUACCCUGUCUCUUUCUCUCUGCCCCCACAGCAACGCCCACAUCCCCGUCCGUGUUCCCAUUGUCGCCAUGCUGCGGAGACACUUCCUCCGCCUCCCAGAUCGCCAUGGGCUGCUUGAUCUCUGGUUACUUCCCGGAACCGGCCACCGUGGAGUGGAAUUCCGGCGCCGUCACCUCUGGCAUCCAGAACUUCCCUGCGGUACAGCGAUCAUCCAGUAGCCACUACACGUUCAGUAGCCAGCUCACCGUACCAGCCUCCAGCUGGCAAUCCGGGACUUUCCAGUGCAACGUGGCACAUGCAGCUACCAGAUCUGCCCUCAACAAAAAGAUUGAAGCCUGCUCUCGCCAUCGUGAACCAGUGACUCCAGAAGUCCACCUCCUCCAUUCUUCCUGCAACCACAGAACUGACCUUGCCACCAUUCAUCUCGUGUGCCUUAUCUCGGGUUUCUACCCCAAUGCAGUUACAGUGAACUGGCUGGUAGACGGCAAGCGUGGGGUGCUUGCAUCCAGUACUGAGAUCCCCAAGAAAGACGCCACCGGGUACACCUUCAGCACCACCAGCACAGCCAACAUAACCCAACUUGCCUGGAAGGAGGGGAAGACCUACACCUGCCAGGUGACCCACCAGGGUGGCACGGUGGAAAAACAGGCCUCAAAGUGCUCAGGUGAUAGUGGCAGCCUUGUGACCAACGGCGUUAAGAUCUCUAUCAUACCCCCAACUCCGGUUGACCUAUACAUGAACGGAGACCCCAAGCUCAUCUGCUUGGUAUCCAGUCUUGAUAGUGAUGCAGAGCUAGAUGUGAGCUGGUCCUGGGAGAAACAAGGACGCCUGAACCCCGAACCACUGGAAACCACAUCUGAAUCAGAUGGCACCUUCACCGCUAGGAGCUCCCUGAUCAUCUCCAAGCAGAACUGGCUGGCAGGGGACGUCUACACUUGCAAAGCAGAACAUCCAAGCUUCGCCGCUCCCCUUACCAAGACGAUCUCUCGGAAUACAGGCCCGAGCUCCCGCCCCCACGUGUACCUCUUCCGCCCUCACAACGAAGAGUUGAAAUCUCGUGAUCCAACUGUGUCCAUUACCUGCCUGGUCAAAGGUUUCAAGCCUAAGGACAUCUCCAUCCGGUGGCUCGAGAAUCACAACGUCGUGACUGAAAACAACCACGUGACCACCCCAGUCCAGAUGGACAGCAGUCAGGAUUCCUAUUUUAUCUACAGCAAGCUGACGGUCCCCAAGGCUAGCUGGAACGAUGGCAAUUCCUACACCUGCCAUGUUGUCCACGAAGAGCUCGAAAUGAAGUACACCCAGAGGACCGUUGAGAAAAUUCAGGGUAAAAAAUGAAGAGUGGCAUUGUUACCCUUCCCACCGACCCCAAUUCACCGAAUUGUCUCGAGCAUUGUCAGAUUUAACCCUGUGUAA